GAGAUAGAGGUGCGGUGUUCAUCAGUACGGUCCGGCAAAGCCAGGCAGCUGCCGAACGGAAAGGGUCCGCCGCCGAAGAAUCAGAGGGUGCCUGCCCGAAGGAUUCUGGGCUGCAUGAAAAGAUCAUGCAGACUGUCACAAGACUUUGUGGAGCGCUAUCG
rnacentral:ncRNA from 1 species